UAGAUGAGGAUGAGGCAAUAUUAGCCUUAUAUCCAACACUUGAUCUGAGGGAUUUGUUUCCAAGUGAUUGUGUUGCUGCCGAAAAUCCGU